UACGGGGGAUGCAAGCGUUAUCCGGAAUCAUUGGGCGUAAAGCGCCUGUAGGUUGUUUAAUAAGUCUGUUGUUAAAGACUAGGGCUCAACCCUAGAAAAGCAAUGGAUACUACUAGACUAGAGUAUGGCAGGGGUAGAGGGAAUUUCUAGUGUAGCGGUGAAAUGCGUAGAUAUUAGAAAGAACACCGGUGGCGAAAGCGCUCUACUGGACCAUUACUGACACUCAGAGGCGAAAGCUAGGGUAGCAAAAGGGAUUAGAUACCCCUGUAGUCCUAGCCGUAAACGAUGGAUACUACAUGUUGUAUUUAUUUUACAGUAUGGUAGCUAACGCGUUAAGUGUUCCGCCUGGGGAGUACGCACGCAAGUGUG
rnacentral:rRNA from 1 species